GAUAAACGCUGGCGGCGUGCCUAACACAUGCAAGUCGAACGAUCUCGCAAGGGAGAGUGGCGGAAGGGUGAGUAACACGUGGGAAUCUACCUCCUCGCAGGGAACAACCUCUCGAAAGAGAGGCUAAUACCCAAAAGGGUCAGAAAUGAUCAGAGUCGAAAGGCGUGAGGAGAGGAGCCCGCGGCCCAUCAGCUAGUUGGUGAGGUAAUGGCUUACCAAGGCCACGACGGGUAGGGGAUCUGAGAGGAUGUCCCCCACACUGGAACUGAAACACGGUCCAGACGCCUACGGGUGGCAGCAGUGAGGAAUAUUGGACAAUGGGCGAAAGCCCGAUCCAGCAACGCCGCGUGGAGGAUGAAGGCCUUCGGGUCGUAAACUUCUUUAGAGGGAGACGAGAAAGGACGGUAUCCCUAGAAUAAGCGACGGCAAACUACGUGCCAGCAGCCGCGGUAAU
rnacentral:rRNA from 1 species